rnacentral:rRNA from 1 species
UACGUAGGGGGCAAGCGUUAUCCGGAAUUACUGGGCGUAAAGGGUGCGUAGGCGGUAAGAUAAGUCAUAUGUGAAAGCCCCGGGCUUAACCUGGGGACUGCAUAAGAAACUGUCUGACUAGAGUACAGGAGAGGUAAGCGGAAUUCCUAGUGUAGCGGUGAAAUGCGUAGAUAUUAGGAAGAACACCAGUGGCGAAGGCGGCUUACUGGACUGAAACUGACGCUGAGUCACGAAAGCGUGGGGAGCGAACAGG